GAAAUGCGAUAAGUAAUGUGAAUUGCAGAAUUCAGUGAAUCAUCGAAUCUUUGAACGCACAUUGCGCCCGCCAGUAUUCUGGCGGGCAUGCCUGUUCGAGCGUCAUUUCAACCAUCAAGCCCCCGGGCUUGUGUUGGGGGCCUGCGGCUGCCGCAGGCCCCGAAAACCAGUGGCGGGCUCGCUGUCACACCGGGCGUAGUAGAUUUUUCGUCUCGCCCAGGGCGUGCUGCGGGUUCCGGCCGUUAAAAAGCCUCUCUUUUAACCCAAGGUUGACCUCGGAUCAGGUAGGAAGACCCGCUGAACUUAAGC
rnacentral:misc_RNA from 1 species